CUCAUAUCCUCAUCGGCUUCUCCCUUCCCUCAGGCCUUCCAUGCCCUCAUCCGCCCAUCCACCCCCGGCGGCUCCAGGAGGAGCACCACAACCGCAGGCACCGGCGGCGGCAUGCCAUCCACACCGCGCUCGCGCUCCACCGGCGGCCCCUUCAGUCCCGAGCCCAACUUGCCGCCGUCGGCCGCGGCGGCCAGGCCGCGCCUCUCCUUCCACCUAGGCUGCUUCCACCGGUCCCGAGAUCCGCCGACAUCAACCCCGUCGUCCAGCACCGGGUGCCUAAGAUCGGCACGCCUCCUACCGAUCGAUCGGACCAGUGCCAUGGCAACGAGCGUGUCCCCCUACCACGACCUUCAACUUGAGUGGCAGAUUCCACCAUGACUUGGCAGCGCUGCUGGUGGAACCAGCGUCCCUAGGCGAGCAAUCGUCCAGAUGGCCGUCACGCUUCCGCCCAACAGGCCGGGUUAUCUGGGAUCAAUUACAACAAGGCACUUGGAUAUUGUUUAUAAAGGUGGCAUAUUUUGUCAAUUUAUAUACUUAAUCUCAAUGUGUUGAUUUAUUCAUGCUAUUUUGAUGAGGAUGGCAUGAAUGCCAGUUCAUGGCUAUGCAAGGCAUCAAUGCUUGAUGAUUGGUCAUACAGUGACGUGUUACUCAUUGGGGCCUUAAUUUGCAACAGAAGUAGAUGCAAUAAGCUCUGAAAACUAAAUUGUAUUUGCUCAUAUGACACGAAGGCAAUGGGAAUUUCUUCGUGGGUGUUGAUCAUGCUUGGCUUUCCCUGAGCUCCAACUAUUCAUGCUACUGCAUAUGAUAUCCAAUAGCUAUAGAUGUUGCCAUCAUUAUGCUAUUAGACAUAAUCUGGAUUACUCCCCUUUGAAAGGGUACAAUAUUUUUUUUAGUUCUUGUAACUUUCUGUAAUGUUGUGACAGAAAUAAAUUGUAAAUUCUCCACUUUGAUUACUACCCAAUUAUGGGUAAGUUUAUGCAAAUUUAAUAUUCAUGUUU